rnacentral:ribozyme from 1 species
UGUAAUAUCAGAAGUAGUUCACUCACACGAAAAGGAAUGUUAUGGAAGUACUAUGUUUGGUGAAUCUUUUUUGACGUC